AGGGGCAUAGCUCAGCUGGUAGAGCGGCGGUCUCCAAAACCGUAGGCCGGGAGUUCGAGUCUCUCUGCCCCUGC
rnacentral:tRNA from 1 species